rnacentral:lncRNA from 1 species
UCAAAUUUAUCUAUGCUAUGAUACUUUUUCUUUCCUUGUUUCUUACUUUAUUCCAGAUUGUUGGUAAGCCUUUUAUAUUAUUUUCAUUUUUUUUCUUUAUUUUAUACAUAAUUGUUCAUACAUUUUCAGUAACUUUUCUUUACUCUUAUUUUACAUAACAGCAGGUGACUGUGUUUCUGAUUGUGAAGCCAUGUAUAGGUGUGAGUCUCCUAAUAGAACUAUGAAGUGUUUUAUGUAUGUAUGCGUGUGCUGGUGGUAACACAGUUAAGUAAAGAAUAACUAUUCUUGAGUUAGUUUGAUACCAUAACCAUUUGAAGUAGCGUGUAUUGAACAUUUAAUUAUCAUCCAUCAAUCAUGUGAUACUAACCAUCACUUAUUUUUAUAUGCAGAUUAUACUCUAUGGUUAUGAGAAGCAAUUAGUAGAGUUUCACUAGUGAAAGCUGAGUAGAGGAUUGUGCCUAGCUAUGUUUUUUUGUUGAGAUUUUUAGUGUAUAAUGACAAAUGUAUUAUGUAACUUAACCUUCAACUAAAUCACACAAACAAUGUUGAUGUGUUGGAAUUAAGGUAAAAUAAAUAAGUUGUAUCGACACUCUCAAUGAUGAAAUAUCAAACGUAUAUGGAAGAAAAUUUAUGAAAAAGAAAAA